CACAGAGCACCCCAUGACAAUGGAGUUUGUCAGGAAAAAUAGCUGAGUAAGGUCCACUGGCUGCUGCUGAUCAGCUGUGUUUAUCUAGACUGAGUUAAUAAAUAUGACUGAGUCAAGACGGUGAAUCUACUGUCUGUGGCAGCUGGCCAGGAGUUCCUGGGCAAAGAGAGAAGCUCAGUGACACAGGAAGCUUACCACUGACCAGGAGUUACCUCCUCCCAGCAGCAGAAACCUGUCCAAUUCUUCUCUGUUCAUGAGUACCCACUUGAGUCCUUCCUGUCCCAGCUGUGGAAAAACACCCGCUCCUUGGCCAAGAACACCCAGCUCUCUUGGACCGUCCAGACAGAGCAGAUUCCAGGCCUGGCUGUGAAUGUAAGGAACAGACCAUAAACAGUACAAUACCGACAGGCUUGGCCUGCAGUCAAGGUACUCAGGACUCUCUACCAGGCUCCUGGGGGAUACACCUAUACUUGCAUCUGGAUUAUUGUCGAAAAACAAAGCCUUAUUAUUCCUUGCCUACCCUGGAUCUCAGUACAAAGUGCACUCUAGGUUAUUGAUUUCUGAGAAAUGUAACAUUGGAUCUGUGAUAACAAGCUACAGGCUACAUACAAAAUGUUUAUGUUCCACCACAGAGUCCAAAUUUGUGAAAUAAAUAUUUGCUCUCUCAUAUGUCUGUGGGAUCCUGUCAUAGAGAACAUUAUGUGCUAUAAUGUGUUUCAGAGCCGCUCAUGGCAGGACUUGGACAGACCUUUCACUGCUUGUUUAGAAUGGGAUUUUGUUCAGACUCUCUUCUCAUUUUCUCUGCUUCUUUGGAAAAAAACCCCUUUAGAAUGUAUUUCUGUUAACGUAUCAUCUGUCACAUAAACUAUAAACUGUAUAUUGAAUAAAGUAUAAUGUACUUUUUUGAAA